GACGUAGGGGGCGAGCGUUGUCCGGAUUUACUGGGCGUAAAGAGCGCGUAGGCGGUCUGUUAAGUGUGAAGUGAAAUCUCUGGGCUCAACCCAGAAACCGCUUUACAUACUGGCAGACUAGAGGGAUGCAGAGGUGAAUAGAAUUCCUGGUGGAGCGGUGAAAUGCGUAGAUAUCAGGAGGAAUACCAAUGGCGAAGGCAGUUCACUGGGCAUUUCCUGACGCUGAGGCGCGAAAGCGUGGGUAGCAAACAGG
rnacentral:rRNA from 1 species